ACCUGUAUUCGUGACAUCAGUUAUGACGUUGGUAAAUUCUCUGUAAAGUGACGUCAACUUUUUAUUUAAUUUGCACGAUUUCGUCAUCACUGCAACAUGUGGAUCUGUGUAGCUGUUUUGGACAGUUUUAUAUUUGUGUUAAAUAUAAAAUGAUGUGAUAUGGAUAAUGAAAUAGAAGAACUGGACAAUUUAUUGUCCGACCACUUUGGGCGAACUCCAUCGGCAUCUCAGGUGAGCUCAAAUUCCGAUGAUGGGACUUAUAUAAAUUCCCCAAAUGAUCAUUCAUUUAGAGAGGACGAAAACAGUUCAGCAGCAACUAUUGUUGAUUGUAGAGCCAGAAAGUCAUUCACCAACAUGACAUUUUAUGUAACAACAGUGAUGAGUAUGAAAGUGAUGUGGACGAUACAUACAUUGUCAGUGGUGCAUGCGCCAGUGGUGACAUGGACGCUGACUAUGCAACUAUGUCAGGCAGUUUCUCGAGAUCGGAUGUGGUUGCAAGAGUACGUGUACUGUUAAUUUUGAAAUUGGCCUGGUAUACCAUCAUAUAUUGAACAUGAGAGAAUUGACAAAGGAAGAGAAAGAUAUUAUUGUCAUGAGUAAUCUUAAGUGUGGAAAUGGCCUGACUACAAAACGAGGGAAGCCAAGGAAACUAUGACUAUAUAGCAUAUGGUCAGAACAAGAACCGCUACCUCAUUUGCUAUUUCACAUGGCGUGUGAUGACCGGCAGACAUGACGUGAUAGAAUACCACAUGCAAAUACCAGGACAUGCCAGGUGUCUGGUUGACAGUGGAUUUGGGCAUUUAAAGAAACUUUACAGGAGGUCGAACAUUGAGACAAUGACUCAUUGACCCAGAUGGUGAAUAUGUCCUCAGCAUCCAAUGAAGCAGUGAGGUAUCCGGCAUGGAACUGGCGGGAUUGGAAAGGGUUUUUGUCCCGACCGUUUUGUCCUGUACCAGCGAUAAGACAAUAUCAGUACUUCCGCAUGACGACGGAAGAGCCAGGUGUGGUCACAAUGCGCACGAAAGUCGGAUGUCCAGAGGUCAAGGUUACAGUGGCUAUGGAUGGCGUCCAUAUUCCAUACCAACGACCGCAAAUUGUAGAGGCCAAAGGACUCAGCCGAGACAGACAGGAGUACUUGUACAAAGUUGUCAGGCCAUAUCUCAGCGAUGCUAACAAGGAUGCUACUUGCCCUUGCCCAGAAACAUAACUAUAGUUAUGUCGUCGCAUCUAUCGCAUCUACGGCGAAAGAUUACACACAUUAUAAUGUCAAUGUUUACAGGCGAAUGACAAAUAACUUCAAACUUAUUCUUCACUUCUUUUUGAAUAUCCUUCAAUGUCUGUUUGAAUACAUUGGUUUAUUUAUAACACAUUUAAAUAACACUUGUUCAUAUCAAAUGAAAUAUUUGUAUUCACUUCUGCUCGUUUCUAUAGAAUUCAUGGCAAACGAAGAAUUCUGCAUACAAUAUAAGCUGUACGAUAAUUAAAUUGUGAACAUGCUAAGAAUAAUUAUAAAAAUUAUUAUAGAUUACUCGACUCCUAUUUUUUAGGAAAAGCACUUUUGGGAAAUAAAAAUCUAACAUUUCAACACAAUGAAAUUAUUUUAUUAUUAUUAUUAUUGGAUAUUGUUGGUUUAUGUAUUAAUGGUGUAAUUGAUAAUGUUUGUUUUGAUGUGUGCAUUCCUAUGAAAAACUAAAUGAUAUGUUGUGAAAAUAUGUGAGAUUGGUUUAGAAAAAAAUGAUUUAAACUGUAUGGUUUGCUGGUCGAUGUAAAUAUAAGUGGACUUUGUUGCUAAGCAACGUAUGUUAGAUUACAGUUUAAUGUUAAUCACAAAUAUUUUUAGAACAAAUAGAUACCUGAUAAUAUAUUUUUAACAAAAUAAAUGUGUUCUUAAAUGUUA